rnacentral:rRNA from 1 species
UCCCACGCCUGGGGAGUACGGCCGCAAGGCUAAAACUCAAAGGAAUUGACGGGGACCCGCACAAAGCGGCGGAGCAUGCGGAUUAAUUCGAUGCAACGCGAAGAACCUUACCAAGGCUUGACAUACACCAGAACGGGCCAGAAAUGGUCAACUCUUUGGACACUGGUGAACAGGUGGUGCAUGGUUGUCGUCAGCUCGUGUCGUGAGAUGUUGGGUUAAGUCCCGCAACGAGCGCAACCCUCGUUCUAUGUUGCCAGCACGUAAUGGUGGGAACUCAUGGGAUACUGCCGGGGUCAACUCGGAGGAAGGUGGGGAUGACGUCAAAUCAUCAUGCCCCUUAUGUCUUGGGCUUCACGCAUGCUACAAUGGCCGGUACAAUGGGCUGCGAUACCGCGAGGUGGAGCGAAUCCCAAAAAGCCGGUCCCAGUUCGGAUUGAGGUCUGCAACUCGACCUCAUGAAGUCGGAGUCGCUAGUAAUCGCAGAUCAGCAACGCUGCGGAGAAUACGUUCCCGGGUCUUGUACACACC